rnacentral:rRNA from 1 species
AGAGUUUGAUCCUGGCUCAGGACGAACGCUGGCGGCGUGCUUAACACAUGCAAGUCGAACGGUUCAGAAGAGCUUGCUCUUUUGAUCAGUGGCGAACGGGUGAGUAACACGUGAGCAACCUACCCUUGACUCUGGGAUAACAGUUGGAAACAGCUGCUAAUACCGGAUACGACCUCGGCCGACAUCUGCUGAGGUGGAAAGUUCUGGCGGUCAAGGAUGGGCUCGCGGCCUAUCAGCUAGUUGGUGAGGUAACGGCUCACCAAGGCUUCGACGGGUAGCCGGCCUGAGAGGGCGACCGGCCACACUGGGACUGAGAUACGGCCCAGACUCCUACGGGAGGCAGCAGUGGGAAUAUUGCACAAUGGGCGAAAGCCUGAUGCAGCAACGCCGCGUGCGGGAUGACGGCCUUCGGGUUGUAAACCGCUUUCAGCUCCGACGAAGCGCAAGUGACGGUAGGAGCAGAAGAAGGACCGGCCAACUACGUGCCAGCAGCCGCGGUGAUACGUAGGGUCCGAGCGUUGUCCGGAAUUAUUGGGCGUAAAGGGCUUGUAGGCGGUUUGUCACGUCGGAAGUGAAAACUCAGGGCUCAACCCUGAGCCUGCUUCCGAUACGGGCAAACUAGAGGAAUGCAGGGGAGAAUGGAAUUCCUGGUGGAGCGGUGGAAUGCGCAGAUAUUAGGAGGAACACCAGUGGCGAAGGCGGUUCUCUGGGCAUUUCCUGACGCUGAGAAGCGAAAGCGUGGGGAGCAAACAGGCUUAGAUACCCUGGUAGCCCACGCCGUAAACGGUGGGCACUAGGUGUGGGACUCAUUCCACGAGUUCCGUGCCGUAGCUAACGCAUUAAGUGCCCCGCCUGGGGAGUACGGCCGCAAGGCUAAAACUCAAAGGAAUUGACGGGGGCCCGCACAAGCGGCGGAGCAUGCGGAUUAAUUCGAUGCAACGCGAAGAACCUUACCUGGGUUUGACAUAUGCCGGAAAGCUGCAGAGAUGUAGCCCCCGCAAGGUCGGUAUACAGGUGGUGCAUGGCUGUCGUCAGCUCGUGUCGUGAGAUGUUGGGUUAAGUCCCGCAACGAGCGCAACCCUCGUCCUAUGUUGCCAGCGGGUAAUGCCGGGGACUCAUAGGAGACUGCCGGGGUCAACUCGGAGGAAGGUGGGGAUGACGUCAAGUCAUCAUGCCCCUUAAGUCCAGGGCUUCACGCAUGCUACAAUGGCUGGUACAAAGGGCUGCAAUACCGCAAGGUUGAGCGAAUCCCAAAAAGCCAGUCUCAGUUCGGAUUGGGGUCUGCAACUCGACCCCAUGAAGUCGGAGUCGCUAGUAAUCGCAGAUCAGCAACGCUGCGGUGAAUACGUUCCCGGGCCUUGUACACACCGCCCGUCAAGUCAUGAAAGUCGGUAACACCCGAAGCCGGUGGCCCAACCUUUUGGAGGGAGCCGUCGAAGGUGGGACUGGCGAUUAGGACUAAGUCGUAACAAGGUA